rnacentral:rRNA from 1 species
UGGGGAAUUUUGGACAAUGGGCGAAAGCCUGAUCCAGCAAUGCCGCGUGUGUGAAGAAGGCCUUCGGGUUGUAAGCACUUUUGUCCGGAAAGAAAUGGCUCUGGUUAAUACCUGGGGUCGAUGACGGUACCGGAAGAAUAAGGACCGGCUAACUACGUGCCAGCAGCCGCGGUAAUACGUAGGGUCCAAGCGUUAAUCGGAAUUACUGGGCGUAAAGCGUGCGCAGGCGGUUGUGCAAGACCGAUGUGAAAUCCCGAGCUUAACUUGGGAGUUGCAUUGGUGACUGCACGGCUAGAGUGUGUCAGAGGGGGGUAGAAUUCCACGUNUAGCAGUGAAAUGCGUAGAGAUGUGGAGGGAAUACCGAUGGCGAAGGCAGCCCCUGGGAUAACACUGACGCUCAUGGCACGAAAGCGUGGGGAGCAAACAGGAUUAGAUACCCUGGUAGUCCACGCUGUAAA